AGAUUGCACCAUUUAACUUGAAAUGCAUUGAACGCAGUAACUCAUGAAUGGAGGAAACUUGACAAGAAUGACUAAAUUAUCCUUAUUACCUCAAUUCGAGGACAGAAAGAAGCAAUUGGAAAUUUUAUAACUAUCAAAAUUGGCAUGAGGAAAUACCCACAAGCCAUGAUUAGCCUGAGACUGGUCUGGAUUAGAAAGAAAAGUGAUGAUACUGGAUGCAAUAACAAACUGUUCAUGAGUUUCCAGAGUGACAAACUAAAUGCUGACUAAAUACACAGAAUUAGCCUUUGAAACUGUUGGAGCGCGCCCAGUAGCAGCCCAGGGGUGGCCGCGCAGGAGCCUCCCUGUCCCUGCUGCGGAACCGCAGCAAAUUCGGGUAGCCCGGGGGCCGCGAGCUUCAGCCUCCGUCUCUCUGAGGCUCAAAGCAAAUGUUGAGAGAGCAGGUGGAAAACAGUCCCGAGGGAACAGCAAACACCUAGAGGACCUGCGGGGGGGGCGUGGAGGGUCAGCUGUUACCUCCCUAAAUUUCAAGUGAAAUGGGAUAAAUGAGUGUGACAAAGGAAAAAAUGUCUUCUAGGAAUUGUCAUAUGUAAACAACGUGGAGCUUAUCAUAUUCCCUGGGACGUCAGGGUGGAAUGGGAAGCCUCGGGCCCUUUCCUCCCCUCCCACACCCACGGACAGACCCAUUC
rnacentral:lncRNA from 1 species